rnacentral:rRNA from 1 species
CGCACGGGUGAGUAACACGUAUGCAAUCCACCUGUAACAGGGGGAGUAACCCGGAGAAAUCCGGACUAAUACCCCAUAAUAUGGGCGCUCCGCAUGGAGAGCCCAUUAAAGAGAGCAAUUUUGGUUACAGACGAGCAUGCGCUCCAUUAGCCAGUUGGCGGGGUAACGGCCCACCAAAGCGACGAUGGAUAGGGGUUCUGAGAGGAAGGUCCCCCACAUUGGAACUGAGACACGGUCCAA